rnacentral:rRNA from 1 species
GACGAACGCUGGCGGCGUGCUUAACACAUGCAAGUCGAACGGAAAGGCCCUGCUUGCCGGGUACUCGAGUGGCGAACGGGUGAGUAACACGUGGGUGAUCUGCCCUGCACUUCGGGAUAAGCCUGGGAAACUGGGUCUAAUACCGGAUAGGAGCCAUUUUUAGUGUGAUGGUUGGAAAGUUUUUUCGGUGUAGGAUGAGCUCGCGGCCUAUCAGCUUGUUGGUGGGGUAAUGGCCUACCAAGGCGGCGACGGGUAGCCGGCCUGAGAGGGUGGACGGCCACAUUGGGACUGAGAGACGGCCCAGACUCCUACGGGAGGCAGCAGUGGGGAAUAUUGCACAAUGGGCGCAAGCCUGAUGCAGCGACGCCGCGUGGGGGAUGACGGCCUUCGGGUUGGAAACUCCUUUCGCUAGGGACGAAGCUUUUUGUGACGGUACCUAGAUAAGAAGCACCGGCUAACUACGUG